rnacentral:rRNA from 1 species
UACGUAGGGUGCGAGCGUUGUCCGGAAUUAUUGGGCGUAAAGAGCUUGUAGGCGGUCUGUCGCGUCUGCUGUGAAAAUCCGGGGCUCAACCCCGGACUUGCAGUGGGUACGGGCAGACUAGAGUGUGGUAGGGGAGACUGGAAUUCCUGGUGUAGCGGUGAAAUGCGCAGAUAUCGGGAGGAACACCAAUGGCGAAGGCAGCUUGCUGGGACGGUACUGACGCUGAGACGCGAAAGCGUGGGGAGCAAACAGG